GACGAACCGUGCGAACGUUAUUCGGAAUCACUGGGCUUAAAGCGCGUGUAGGCGGGACGGCACGUCGGUCGCUGAAAGCCCCCGGCUCAACCGGGGAACGGGCGCCGAUACGACCGCCCUGGAGGAACGUAGGGGGACCUGGAACUUCCGGUGGAGCGGUGAAAUGCGUUGAGAUCGGAAGGAACGCCCGUGGCGAAAGCGAGGUCCUGGGACGUUUACUGACGCUGAGGACGCGAAAGCCAGGGGAGCGAACGGG
rnacentral:rRNA from 1 species